rnacentral:rRNA from 1 species
CCUACGGGGGGCAGCAGUGGGGAAUAUUGGACAAUGGGGGGAACCCUGAUCCAGCCAUGCCGCGUGUGUGAAGAAGGCCCUCGGGUUGUAAAGCACUUUCAGUGAGGAAGAACGCCUGGUGGUUAAUACCCAUCAGGAAAGACAUCACUCACAGAAGAAGCACCGGCUAACUCCGUGCCAGCAGCCGCGGUAAUACGGAGGGUGCGAGCGUUAAUCGGAAUUACUGGGCGUAAAGCGCGCGUAGGUGGCUUGAUAAGCCGGUUGUGAAAGCCCCGGGCUCAACCUGGGAACGGCAUCCGGAACUGUCAAGCUAGAGUGCAGGAGAGGAAGGUAGAAGUCCCGGUGUAGCGGUGAAAUGCGUAGAGAUCGGGAGGAAUACCAGUGGCGAAGGCGGCCUUCUGGACUGACACUGACACUGAGGUGCGAAAGCGUGGGUAGCAAACAGGAUUAGAUACCCGUGUAGUC